UACGAAGGGGGCUAGCGUUGCUCGGAAUCACUGGGCGUAAAGCGCGCGCAGGUGGUCUUUCAAGUCAGUGGUGAAAGCCCGGAGCUCAACUCCGGAAAUGCCAUUGAAACUGUGAGACUUGAGGACGAGAGAGGUGAGUGGAAUUCCCAGUGUAGAGGUGAAAUUCGUAGAUAUUGGGAAGAACACCGGUGGCGAAGGCGGCUCACUGGCUCGUAUCUGACGCUCAGGCGCGACAGCGUGGGGAGCAAACAGG
rnacentral:rRNA from 1 species